GAUUAAUAAAAGUAAGCCACAGAAGCAGGUGUGGAACUAGACUUCUAAAAUUGGAGGGGACAAAGAUAUAUUUAUUAUGAAAAAAUGGUUUAGAUUAUUGGGGCAAAGACAUAUGAAAAUUUAUGAAUUUUAGAGAAGCCAUAAUUAUACUUAAAAAUAAAAAAUAAAAAAUGGGGGGCCAUGGCCCUUGCAACCCUACACCUAGUUCCACCCCUGCGCAGCAGUGCUCGACAUAAUAACACUACUUAGGAGCUUCUGUCCUUGCCUCUGGAAAAUG
rnacentral:misc_RNA from 1 species